GAGGAGACGGCGCCUGGGAACUGAGCCGGGACGUGGUUCCAUGACGGCCCGAAAACAGGGGCUUUGGACGGGAAGCCGCAAGCUCCGAGCUCGCUGUGGUCAACCACAGGGGCGGGCUGUCUGGCGUGCUGGACACCGACACCGGAGGGGUACCUCGGGGUGGAGAGCUCCUCGCUUUCAGGCAGGAUAAGGGAAUCGACGUAGUAGCUCAAGGCCAGACACGAUGAUGGGCCGUGAGAGAAGGCUGCAUCUCUCAGGGAAAUGAAACUUUGAGCUUGGAGUUGAGGAAUUUGGAGGAUAGCUUGUCAAUAAAUUCAUCCAAACUUUU